rnacentral:lncRNA from 1 species
CUCUGAAGAGACUGAGGGACUCGGCCAAUGCCAAUGAUGUGGAAACAGCAGCUGCUGGAAGAUGGCGCGGAUCCCUGUGCAGCUGAUGACAAGGGCCGCACAGCUCUACACUUUGCCUCAUGCAAUGGCAAUGACCAGAUUGUGCAGCUGCUCCUGGACCAUGGUGCUGAUCCUAACCAGCGAGAUGGGCUGGGGAACACGCCACUGCACCUGGCGGCCUGCACCAACCACGUUCCUGUCAUCACCACACUGCUACGAGGAGGGGCCCGUGUAGAUGCCCUGGACCGAGCUGGUCGCACACCCCUGCACCUGGCCAAGUCAAAGCUGAAUAUCCUGCAGGAGGGCCAUGCCCAGUGCCUAGAGGCUGUGCGUCUGGAGGUGAAGCAGAUCAUCCAUAUGCUGAGGGAGUAUCUGGAGCGCCUAGGGCAACAUGAGCAGCGAGAACGCCUGGAUGAC